CAAAGAUUAAGCCAUGCAUGUCUAUGCAUAAACCGAAUAUGGUAAAGCCGCGAAUGGCUCAUUACAACAGCCAUAGUUUAUUGGAUCUUAGAAUCCUACUUGGAUACCUGUGGUAAUUCUAGAGCUAAUACACGCAAACAAGCCCCAACCUGACGGGAGGGGCGCAUUUAUUAGAACAAAACCAAUUGGCUUCGGCCAUUUAUUGGUGAAUCUGAAUAACUACGCUGAUCGCACGGUCUCGUACCGGCGACGUAUCCUUCAAGUGUCUGCCUUAUCAACUGUCGAUGGUAGUUUAUAUGACUACCAUGGUUGUAACGGGUAACGGAGAAUAAGGGUUCGACUCCGGAGAGGGAGCCUGAGAAACGGCUACCACAUCCAAGGAAGGCAGCAGGCGCGCAAAUUACCCACUCUCAGAACGAGGAGGUAGUGACGAAAAAUAACGAGACAGUUCUCUAUGAGGUCUGUCAUCGGAAUGGGUACAAUCUAAACCCU
rnacentral:rRNA from 1 species